GGGACAGCUCGCUGGGGAUGAGCCAAGCCGCGGCAGCUGAGCCGGGGAAGCUGCGCUGUUUACUUGGCACCUUCCCCGAGCACACCACAAGGGCUUCGUUAGAAAAAGAGGGGAAUGGGAUGGAUUAUGGAAUGCUGUUUCUCCACCAGGAUGGAAAGAGCCAUGGGAGAAAGGCAGAAGGGCACCCCCAGAGCAGCCUGGAAGCUGCACCCCCUCUUCCUGCCUUCAAAGCCUGCAGGUUGUAGGUGUCAAUCUGGGAUCAAAGCCGGCAAGUUGAGCAAUGGGAAACCUACAAAUGGAAAUGUUACCCUGCAAAACCACAAUGGACAAGCCCCUGAGUGUCUGAGAACAGCCACAGCUUGUCACACAGAGAUGUGUCUACGAUGGGACAUGGAUUGCACAAGAAGGUCUGAGAGCUGGGGAAGGUUGAGUCUAGAAAAAAAGGAGAGACGAAAAUCCUGAACAACAACGCUGCUUGGAAAAAGCAGUCAGAAGUUUGAAGCACAUCCAGACCACUGCUCUGGAAAUCAGGCUGAAAAGUCUUGUGACAUCAGGCUCUCUCAGGAGGUUGCUGCUAUUUCCCAGCUGUAAAGGCCUGGGAAUGUUGCUAGCAGCCCAUGUUUGACUUUGGAA
rnacentral:lncRNA from 1 species